AUUGAACGCUGGCGGCAGGCCUAACACAUGCAAGUCGAGCGGAUGAGAGGAGCUUGCUCCUUGAUUCAGCGGCGGACGGGUGAGUAAUGCCUAGGAAUCUGCCUGGUAGUGGGGGAUAACGUUCCGAAAGGAACGCUAAUACCGCAUACGUCCUACGGGAGAAAGCAGGGGACCUUCGGGCCUUGCGCUAUCAGAUGAGCCUAGGUCGGAUUAGCUAGUUGGUGAGGUAAUGGCUCACCAAGGCGACGAUCCGUAACUGGUCUGAGAGGAUGAUCAGUCACACUGGAACUGAGACACGGUCCAGAAUCCUACGGGAGGCAGCAGUGGGGAAUAUUGGACAAUAGGCGAAAGCCUGAUCCAGCCAUGCCGCGUGUGUGAAGAAGGUCUUCGGAUUGUAAAGCACUUUAAGUUGGGAGGAAGGGCAGUAAGUUAAUACCUUGCUGUUUUGACGUUACCAACAGAAUAAGCACCGGCUAACUUCGUGCCAGCCGCCGCGGUAAUAC
rnacentral:rRNA from 1 species